rnacentral:rRNA from 1 species
GAUGAACGCUGGCGGCGUGCCUAAUACAUGCAAGUCGAGCGAACAGACGAGGAGCUUGCUCCUCUGACGUUAGCGGCGGACGGGUGAGUAACACGUGGAUAACCUACCUAUAAGACUGGGAUAACUUCGGGAAACCGGAGCUAAUACCGGAUAACAUGUUGAACCGCAUGGUUCAACAGUGAAAGACGGUCUUGCUGUCACUUAUAGAUGGAUCCGCGCCGCAUUAGCUAGUUGGUAAGGUAACGGCUUACCAAGGCAACGAUGCGUAGCCGACCUGAGAGGGUGAUCGGCCACACUGGAACUGAGACACGGUCCAGACUCCUACGGGAGGCAGCAGUAGGGAAUCUUCCGCAAUGGGCGAAAGCCUGACGGAGCAACGCCGCGUGAGUGAAGAAGGUCUUCGGAUCGUAAAACUCUGUUAUUAGGGAAGAACAAAUGUGUAAGUAACCAUGCACGUCUUGACGGUACCUAAUCAGAAAGCCACGGCUAACUACGUG